rnacentral:rRNA from 1 species
UACGUAGGGGCCAAGCGUUGUCCGGAUUUAUUGGGCGUAAAGAGCUCGUAGGCGGUUGGGUAAGUCGGGUGUGAAAACUCCAGGCUCAACUUGGAGACGCCACCCGAUACUGCUCUGACUUGAGUUCGGUAGGGGAGUGGGGAAUUCCUGGUGUAGCGGUGAAAUGCGCAGAUAUCAGGAGGAACAUCAGUUGCGAAGGCGGCCACCUGGACCAGCACUGACACUGAGGCACGAAAGCGUGGGGAGCAAACAGG